GGCUCCUUCGACCCCUGUUGCUUCAGCGCUGGGGGAGCGGCUACCAAUGAAGCUUGUGUCGCACGUGCCGACCUCCUUGCCCGUCCAAGGAGUGCUGGCAGCGUCGACUCCCGCUGCCUGCCUUAUUGCAGUACCAUCCUUUGUGUUCUCCCGGAGGUUUUAACCGAUGGGGCAUCCCUCCUCGGCGUAGCGGUGGCAGUCGUUCUACCCGAGGCGGCGCCACCGCUGGCCGCCGCUUCUUCUACUCCGGCUAGGGCCAUGGCUCUUCCGCUGCCAGAAGGGCGCCGAGAGGACCGUCCUUCUCCCCCUGAGACGCGAGGGAGGAUGUGGAAGAUUGGAGGUCGGUUGAAUCGGCCUCGUCCCAGGGUGAUAUGAGAAUCGGGACCAUCGUGGAGACGCUCGCUAGCUUUGGGACGUAAUCUCAAUUGCUCGGGCAUUGAUGACGCGGGAUGCCAUCCCCUUCGGUCAGCGUAUUUUCGCGCGGUCGAGGGCUAGGGUGGAGGCUUUGCUGUUCGCCCAUCGGGAGAUAGGGCAACUUCGCAUGGGGGCCACCCACUCUGAAGCAACAGCGUGAGCUUGUCGAGUUCUGCUCCGGGACGGAACAACUAGAAAUUAGUAAUAAUAUAUAAAUAUUCAUGAA